rnacentral:rRNA from 1 species
UACAGAGGCCUCGAGCGUUAGGCGGAAUCACUGGGCUUAAAGCGUGUGUAGGCGGAUUGGUAAGUACCUUGUGAAAUCCCACGGCUUAACCGUGGAACUGCUCGGUAUACUGCUGAUCUUGAGCCACUCAGGGGCUACCGGAACAAAUGGUGGAGCGGUGAAAUGCGUAGAUAUCAUUUGGAACGCCAAUGGUGAAAACAGGUAGCUGAGGGUGUGCUGACGCUGAGACACGAAAGCCAGGGGAGCAAACAGG